rnacentral:rRNA from 1 species
UCGAACGGCAGCACAGAAGAGCUUGCUCUUUGGGUGGCGAGUGGCGGACGGGUGAGUAAUGUCUGGGAAACUGCCCGAUGGAGGGGGAUAACUACUGGAAACGGUAGCUAAUACCGCAUAACGUCGCAAGACCAAAGUGGGGGACCUUCGGGCCUCACACCAUCGGAUGUGCCCAGAUGGGAUUAGCUAGUAGGUGGGGUAAUGGCUCACCUAGGCGACGAUCCCUAGCUGGUCUGAGAGGAUGACCAGCCACACUGGAACUGAGACACGGUCCAGACUCCUACGGGAGGCAGCAGUGGGGAAUAUUGCACAAUGGGCGCAAGCCUGAUGCAGCCAUGCCGCGUGUAUGAAGAAGGCCUUCGGGUUGUAAAGUACUUUCAGCGGGGAGGAAGGCGGUGAGGUUAAUAACCUUGCCGAUUGACGUUACCCGCAGAAGAAGCACCGGCUAACUCCGUGCCAGCAGCCGCGGUAAUACGGAGGGUGCAAGCGUUAAUCGGAAUUACUGGGCGUAAAGCGCACGCAGGCGGUCUGUUAAGUCAGAUGUGAAAUCCCCGGGCUUAACCUGGGAACUGCAUUUGAAACUGGCAGGCUUGAGUCUCGUAGAGGGGGGUAGAAUUCCAGGUGUAGCGGUGAAAUGCGUAGAGAUCUGGAGGAAUACCGGUGGCGAAGGCGGNCCCCUGGAC